AAUAGAUACCCUGGUAGUCCAUGCCGUAAACGAUGUCUACUAGCCGUUGGGGGCCUUUGAGGGCUUUAGUGGCGCAGCUAACGCGAUAAGUAGACCGCCUGGGGAGUACGGUCGCAAGACUAAAACUCAAAUGAAUUGACGGGGGGCCCGCACAAGCGGUGGAGCAUGUGGUUUAAUUCGAUGCAACGCGAAGAACCUUACCUGGCCUUGACAUACUAGAAACUUUCCAGAGAUGGAUUGGUGCCUUCGGGAAUCUAGAUACAGGUGCUGCAUGGCUGUCGUCAGCUCGUGUCGUGAGAUGUUGGGUUAAGUCCCGCAACGAGCGCAACCCUUUUCCUUACUUGCCAGCAUUUCGGAUGGGAACUUUAAGGAUACUGCCAGUGACAAACUGGAGGAAGGCGGGGACGACGUCAAGUCAUCAUGGCCCUUACGGCCAGGGCUACACACGUGCUACAAUGGUCGGUACAAAGGGUUGCUACACAGCGAUGUGAUGCUAAUCUCAAAAAGCCGAUCGUAGUCCGGAUUGG
rnacentral:rRNA from 1 species